AUUGGGUUUAAAGGGUGCGUAGGCGGUUAUUUAAGUUGGAGGUGAAAUCCCCGGGCUCAACCUGGGAACUGCCUCCAAAACUGCAUGACUAGAGUACGGUAGAGGGUAGUGGAAUUUCCUGUGUAGCGGUGAAAUGCGUAGAUAUAGGAAGGAACACCAGUGGCGAAGGCGACUACCUGGACUGAUACUGACACUGAGGUGCGAAAGCGUGGGGAGCAAACAGGAUUAGAUACCCCCGUA
rnacentral:rRNA from 1 species